rnacentral:rRNA from 1 species
GACGUAGGGCGCGAGCGUUGUCCGGAUUUAUUGGGCGUAAAGAGCUCGUAGGCGGCUUGUCGCGUCGUCCGUGAAAACCCACAGCUCAACUGUGGGCUUGCGGUCGAUACGGGCAGGCUAGAGUUCGGUAGGGGAGACUGGAAUUCCUGGUGUAGCGGUGAAAUGCGCAGAUAUCAGGAGGAACACCGGUGGCGAAGGCGGGUCUCUGGGCCGAUACUGACGCUGAGGUGCGAAAGCGUGGGGAGCAAACAGG